rnacentral:rRNA from 1 species
AUUGAACGCUGGCGGCAGGCCUAACACAUGCAAGUCGAACGAGUGGCGGACGGGUGAGUAAUGUCUGGGAAACUGCCUGAUGGAGGGGGAUAACUAAUGGAAACGGUAGCUAAUACCGCAUACCAUCAGAUGUGCCCAGAUGGGAUUAGCUAGUGGGUGGGGUAACGGCUCACAAAGGAGACGAUCCCUAGCUGGUCUGAGAGGAUCACCAGCCACACUUGAACUGAGACACGGUCCAGACUCCUACGGGAGGCAGCAGUGGGGAAUAUUGCCCAAUGGGCGCAAGCCGGAUACAGCCAUGCCGCGUGUAUGAAGAAGUCCUUCGGGUUGUAAAGGACUUUAAGCGGGGAGGCGUUACCCGCAGAAGAAGCACCGGCUAACUCCGUGCCAGCAGCCGCGGUAAUUC